CACCUGCCUCGGCCUCCCAAAGUGUACUAAAUACAUUCUUUUUUAUUCUCUAUUCAAUUACAAUAUCUGCAGUUUUGUUGCUCUGGCUUAUCGUUUAUUAUCUGGCAACUUUUGCACAUUGUGGCUUAUUUAUUUGUGUGUAUUCUUUGAUUUUGUAUUAUGACCUGAUAUUCCUUGGAACUUUAUCAAACUUGGAAAUUCUUUGAGAACUAUGUAAAAAGUGUUUCCCUUUGAGGGGUGUUUUUAUUUGCUUUUGUUAGGUGCAUGGGAGCACUACCAAGCCAGAAUUGCUUAAAAUGAAAUUUUCUACUUGAGGUUUUUUUUUUUUUUUCUUGCCGCAUGGAUAGUGAGAAUUUCAGCCCAAAACAAUCAUGCUUCUCCACUUAAGAUUAGAAAUUAUCAAUGACUUUUUUUCCUCCCUGCUUUACUUAGGGCCAAAGCCAAAAACAGGCAUGUGUAGCCCCAUCAUUUACGUCUGCAAGGAGUUUGUUCUCCAGUUUAACCUCUGAAUGGGUCCUGGUUUUAUGUGAGUUCUAUGAUACAAUGUACCACGUGCAGGCCCCAGACUUUGUCUUCCAUCUCCUUCAUAAUGUAAUGUAGUCCAUGAGAAAGUGAUGUAGAUCACCAACACAAAUGAACACAUGCUUAUUCUGGUGGAUUUUCACUUUCCUGUCAUUUCUGGACUUCAGGGAAUUCCUUACUCUCUUAUAAAUGCAGCUGUGCAUUUAAAAAAUAUGUUUUGCAGAUUAUAUAGCAUUUUUCAUUGUGAUACACAGGCUUUUUGUUCUGUGUAUAUCUGGUCUACCAUAAUGCUUGUAAGGAAACACAUUUAAUCUUCUGUGAGGUAUAAUUUAUUAUUCCCAGGUUUUAUGUAGGAAUAUCUUAGGGUCACAGAGGUUAGGUGAUUUUUCCCAACACUGUAGAGAUACUAAGUGGUGGAGGUGAGGUUGAAAUAGGUCUAAACCCAAAGCCAAGGCACUUUUAAAAGAUUAAUAAAGUUUGUCGAAUGAUACUUGGACUAACUCCUGCCUGAAUUAAGCUAGAAAUUAAUAUAAGUUCUUUAAUUCAGUUAGGAAGAUCCCAAAUCAGAAACAAAUCAUAAUAAAAAUUGAGAUCAGGAAGCUUCCUGAGUGUAGCUCCUCAUAUCACUGUCCCACACAUAAGUACUGCCCCAUAUGGCAAUCGGGAGGCCCCAGGAAUGCUUGCUAGGGUCAGGCCCUGCUCCUCUAAGUUAGUUGAAAGCUCCCUCCCUACUCAGUGACUGCUCUCAUACUUCUUCACUGUAGCUGUUGGCUCUCAGAACAUGAUGCCCAAAGUAUAGCGCCUCGGUGUGCUGAGUACUUUGAACUGAAAGACAUUGGAAGGGCCUCCGAAGAAAGAUCUCUUUGACCUUCUCCUGCCCUCUUGUCUUUCAUGCUUCUUUCUCCCCUGGAGUGAACCAUGGAAACUAGAAUUCCUCUUCCGCAAGACAAUGAUAGAAACUAGAAGCCCUUUCCCCAAAGCAAGCCAUAAAACUUAGGAAGGUCACUCUCUCCCUUCUCCCUUCUCAUUUGAAGACCCUUAAUCCAGAGGAAUCCUGCCCCAUACUUGCAAAGAAGAAAUGCUACACAGAGAGUCCAAGAAGAAUUUGAACCCAGUCUAUUACCAUUAGAUCAUACUCUUGUCCAAACACAUCUCUACAGAGCUGCCCAUUCUUCAUGGAACCUAAGCACAAAAACAGUUUUCCCUGGAUCUUUGGGUCUUCAUUUCUGAAGGCUCUCAUAUCACAUAAAACUUUGAUUAAGUAAAUUUGUUAUGCUUUUCUCUUGUUAACUUGUCUUUUGUUAUAGGAGUGUCAGCCAUGACUCUUACAAUGAGUAAGGAGAGGUAUUACCUACCUCCUUUUACCCCUACAUGCUCUUGGAGCUGAUUAUCACAGUUUGUAAUUUUUCCACCUUCCAUUCCUGCUUCUGUGUAUUUUGAUAAAUUUUUGCAGGUCAGUAGACUUCCCAUGGCAGAAUAUUUCCUGCUUCUCACCAGCCCUUAAGCCAAUCCAAGGAAAACAAAAGAACAUCAUAAUGCUUUGUCAUAUGACAAGAUUACAAAAGCAGCAUCCAGUGGCAGAAUGCCCAACUGCUCCGGGACACAGCCAAUAGCUGACUUCAGUGCUCCCCAUCCCUGCUUGUCAGUGAUUAGUCUAAAUUGUUAUCACAAGCCCAGUCUGACCAAUGAAUGUGAGUGAGGGGCCAUUUUGAUUGUCAGCUCCUGAUUCUGCAGAAAACACGAAACUGAGCUGUACAAAGAUGCUGAUGAGGGGCUGCAGCAUGCAAUUCACUUCACCAGCAGUCACUAAGGUCUGAUCUCUUUUCUAACCAUACCUGGAAGAUGGAAUGCUGGACCCAGGGUAUGCAUAGAAAAUGGGAGUUAUUAGAAAAGCAGCUUUGCUUGCUUUAACCCAGGAAUUGUAUUUCUGACUAGACUUGGACUAGAACUUUCACCAUUGGCUUACCUGGUUCUCAGACUUUUAGACUUGGACUGGGACUACACCAUCAACUUUCCUUGGUCUCCAGCUUGCAGACAACAGAUUAUGGGACUUGCCAGUCUCCAUAAUCAGAAGGCUUUGACAUAUCAAUGCACCAGGGAUCUUACCAAACUAAAUUUUAAGCACUUAUAGCUCAAGAUUCUCCCUCUGAGAUGAAACAUACUUCCACCCUGUCAUGUGUCAGCUUCAGAAGAUAUCAAUUGCUCAAGAAAGUGUUGGACAAGCAGAAAAGCACACUGAACAUUUCUGGACUUGUGAAAGAGCUCUGAAUAUGGAUCUCUCAGGGAUAUUCCAUCCCCACCAAUGCUUUACCAAUGCGAGAGCUGGCCAGGCUGAGACAUUUAAUGAUAACAUGGAACAAUUUAUUCAGGAAGAUAGUCAACUACUCAUGUGGCUUUAUGAUUAUAAAACCCACUGAAAAUUGGGUCCCUUGAUUCUCUUGAUUUUUCCUAAGCCUUACUCCCUAAAGUCUCCAAUUUGAUGAGGUAUUUGAUACUUGAUCUCUCCUUGAAGUAAAAUUUGGAGCAAAAUAUAUUGGACUGGAAGGCCUGAGACCUCGAUAAGAAGAAACAUGAACCCCAGAGCCACAGGUGCAUGACUGUUGCUCUUUGACCUGUGUGGUGAGGGGUUACAUGUUAACCAGACUCCCUAGUCUCACUGCAAUUUCUGCCUCUCGGGUUCAAGUGAUUCUCCUGCCUCAGCCUCCUGAGUAGCUGGGAUUACAGA
rnacentral:lncRNA from 1 species